GGGGGAAUAGUUCACUGGUAGAGUGUGUGCUUGGUGUGCACAAGGUCUUGGGUUCAAUCCCCAGUACCUCUA
rfam:Camelus ferus unplaced genomic scaffold scaffold79655, whole genome shotgun sequence.